UACGAAGGAUGCGAGCGUUAUCCGGAUUUAUUGGGCUUAAAGGGAGCGUAGGCGGUCUUAUAAGUCAGUGGUGAAAUCCUAUCGCUUAACGAUAGACGUGCCAUUGAUACUGUAGGACUUGAGUACAGAUGCCGUUGGCGGAAUGUGUCAUGUAGCGGUGAAAUGCAUAGAUAUGACACAGAACACCGAUUGCGAAGGCAGCUGACGAAACUGUAACUGACGCUGAGGCUCGAAAGCGUGGGGAUCAAACAGG
rnacentral:rRNA from 1 species